rnacentral:rRNA from 1 species
GAUGAACGCUGGCGGCGUGCCUAAUACAUGCAAGUCGAGCGGACAGACGAGGAGCUUGCUCCUUUGACGUUAGCGGCGGACGGGUGAGUAACACGUGUAUAACCUACCUAUAAGACUGGGAUAAUCUCGAGAAACCGGAGCUAAUACCGGAUAAUAUAUUGAACCGCAUGGUUCAAUAGUGAAAGACGGUUUUGCUGUCACUUAUAGAUGGAUCCUCGCCGCAUUAGCUAGUUGGUAAGGUACCGGCUUACCAAGGCAACGAUGCGUAGCCGACCUAAGAGGGGGGUCGGCCACAUGGGAGCUUAGCCACCGUCCAGACUCCUGCGGGAGGCAGCAGUAGGGAAUCUUCCGCAGUGGGCGGAAGCCUUACGGAACGACCCGGCGUGAGUUAUGAAGGUCUUCGGAUCGUAAAACUCCGUUAUGAGGGAAGAACAAAUUUGUAAGUAACUAUGCACGUCUUGACGGUACCUAAUCAGAAAGCCACGGCUAACUACGUG